rnacentral:lncRNA from 1 species
AGUGAGCUUAGGACACAGGAAGAGACAGUGUUACAAUCAGAGUCCAAGGCAAAAAACAAAAAAUCAAAAGCCCUGAAGCAGAUAUCUCCUCUUGAAGGGGUCUGGUCGGAAGAAUUGGCUGUUUUGGUAACUCUCAGCCUCUUUGUUCUACCAAGCUUUCAACUGGCAGAAUGAGGUCCUCCCUCAUGCGGAGGGUAAACUGCUCACUCAGCCUGACUUGGUGUCACUCUUAUCUGAAAACACCCAGAAAAGGUUAGCUCAGGGCCCGAUCAAGCCAACAGAAGGCAAGAAAGUUAUCAAAGAUCAGAGGCUGUUUUGUCAAAAGAGCACAGAAGCAGCACAGGAGGACCCACUGGCCAAGGACAGAAUGAUUGGAGGAUCAAAGAAAUACCAGGCCCCUGAUAAGAUGGCUGGGGGAGGGGGGAGGGGGGAGGAGGAAUUACUUUCUUAACUUGUCCUCAAGACAGUAAAUAACAGAGGCUAGGGCUGUAGCUUAGUGGUAGAGUGCUUGCCUUUGCGUGCAUGACGUCCUAGGUUCAAUCCCCAGUACU